CGAGCUCACUCCGGCAUGAAGUUCCCCGUGGAUACUCGUGACGCGUCCCCAGUUCCCACUCUCAUUGGGUGUCGGAUGUCUAGAGAAGCCAAUCAGCGUCGCCGCGGUCCCAGUUCUAAAGUCCCCACCCGCCCAUCCGGGCUCAGAGUCUCCUCAGACGCCCGGAUGCGGUCAUGGCGCCCCGAACCCUCCUCCUGCUGCUCUCGGGGGCCCUGAUCCUGACCGAGACCUGGGCCGGCUCGCACUCCAUGAGGUAUUUCCACACCGCCGUGUCCCGGCCCGGCCGCUGGGAGCCCCGCUUCAUCUCCGUGGGCUACGUGGACGACACGCAGUUCGUGCGGUUCGACGGCGACGCCGAGAGUCCGAGGAUGGAGCCGCGGGCGCCGUGGGUGGAGCAGGAGGGGCCGGAGUAUUGGGACCGGAACACACGGAUCGCCAAGGGCCACGCACAGACUCACCGAAGGAACCUGAGGACCGCGCUCCGCUACUACAACCAGAGCGAGGGGGGGUCUCACACCAUCCAGAGGAUGUCCGGCUGCGACCUGGGACCCGACGGGCGCCUCCUCCGCGGGUAUUACCAGGACGCCUACGACGGCAAGGAUUACAUCGCCCUGAACGAGGACCUGCGCUCCUGGACCGCCGCGGACAUGGCGGCUCAGAACACCCAGCGCAAGUGGGAGGCGGCCGGUGUGGCGGAGCAGCUGAGAGCCUACCUGGAGGGGACGUGCGUGGAGUGGCUCCGCAGACACCUGGAGAACGGGAAGGAGACGCUGCAGCGCGCGGAUCCCCCAAAGACACACAUGACCCACCACCCCGUCUCUGACCAUGAGGCCACCCUGAGGUGCUGGGCCCUGGGCUUCUACCCUGCGGAGAUCACACUGACCUGGCAGCGGGAUGGGGAGGAGCAAACUCAGGACACUGAGCUUGUGGAGACCAGGCCAGGAGGAGAUGGAACCUUCCAGAAGUGGGGAGCUGUGGUGGUACCUUCUGGAGAAGAGCAGAGAUACACGUGCCAUGUGCAGCACGAGGGAUUGACGGAGCCCCUCACCCUGAGAUGGGAGCCAUCUUCCCAGUCCACCAUCCCCAUUGUGGGCAUUGUUGCCCUGGCUGUCCUGGCACUUGUGUUCAUCGGAGCUGUGGUCCCUGCUGUGAUGUGGAGGUGGAAGAGCUCAGGUGGAAAAGGAGGGAGCUACUCUCAGGCUGCAUCCAGCGACAGUGCCCAGGGCUCUGAUGUGUCUCUCAUGGCUUGAAAAGCCUGAGACAACUGUCUUGUGUGGGACUGAGAUGCAAGAUUUCUUCACGCCUCUCCUUUUGUGACUUCAGGAGACUCUGGCAUCUCUUUCUGCAAAGGCAUCUGAAUGUGUCUGCGUCUCUGUUAGCAUAAUGUGAGGAGGUGGAGGGACAGCCCACCCCCGUGUCCACCGUGACCCCUGUUCCCAUGCUGACCAGUGUUUCCUCCCCAGUCAUCUUUCCUGUUCCAGAGAGGUGGGGCUAGAUGUCUCCAUCUCAGUCUCAACUUUAUGUGCACUGAGCUGCAACUUCUUGCUUCCCUACAGAAAAUAAGAAUCUGCCGGGCGUGGUGGCUCACGCCUGUAAUCCCAGCACUUUGGGAGGCCGAGGCGGGCGGAUCACGAGGUCAGGAGAUCGAGACCAUCCUGGCUAACACGGUGAAACCCUAUCUCUAAUAAAAAUACAAAAAAUUAGCCACGCAUGGUGGUGCGCCCCUGUAGUCCCAGCUACUUGGAGGCUGAGGCAGGAGAAUGGCGUGAACCCGGGAGGCGGAGCUUGUAGUGAGCCAAGAUGGCGCCACUGCACUCCAGCCUGGGCGGCAAAGCGAGACUUUGUCUCAAAAAACAAAAAAAAACAGAAAAUAAGAAUCUGAAUAUAAAUUUGUUUUCUCAAAUAUUUGCUUUGAGAGGUUUAUGGAUUAAUUAAAUAGGUCAAUUCCUAGAAUUUGAGAGAGCAAAUAAAGACCUGAGAACCUUCCAGAA